ACAUAAUCAUACCAUGGCCAAAUCUAAUUAACUCAAGCAUAAAAUAAAUCUAUUAUAAUCAAAGGCAUAGAAACCAAGCUUAAUCAAAAGAUAUAAGCCAUUUUUGCAUGGCUCAAUAUUACAUAACCCAAAAUCAAGCAUUUCAGCUAUGCUAUAUAUGCCAUAUGAUUUAGUUCAAUUUAACAAAACACCGAAAGGAGUUGAUAGUAUGCUAGACUUUACUGAUGAUCCCCGAGCUCGUAACGACUUCAAAAUCUAUAAAACAGAGGUAAAUAAGAACACACACAAUAAGCUAUUUAAGCUUAGUAAGUCAUAAGCAAAAAUAUAUAUGUUAACACUGAGUUGACAAAGCUGAAUAUACAUGUUCUUUAAGUACAAGGUUAUCAUUUAAAUCUCUCAUACAAAUACCAUAUAGCUAAUUGUACAAAUACACAUGAACUUAUUCAAAUCUCACUAUUAAAAAUUACAUAUACCAUACCACAUUUGGCCGAAUAUACACAUAUCACAUAUGCAUACACAUAGUUCACAUUUAUAACUUUAGCAUUUAUACAAUCAAUUCAACAACCGACCUACCUUAUUUUCACAACUUGGUAUAAGUGUCACGGGCCAAAGUUCAAAGCCCGUGACCAUCGCACCAAAUGCAUCCAAUGGAGGUCUAUUGCUCAGAUGGGGAUCAUUUGGCCUACAAGAACUGGCCCGAUUCAAAGAGCUAUUGGACAAGCCUGUCAAAUUGAAGCCUAGUUGGCCCAAUAAUGAAGAGAUGGCAACUUAGGCUAAUAUGGUAACUAAUCUUAGAAGAUAGAGGGAAUCAUAUCUUGUAAAGAUUAGAUUAGAUUUGAUAAGGCUUAUCUUGUAAAUCCCUAAAAUUAAGGGAUAUGGUUAAAUCUCAUCCGUCGAUGUAAAUGUAUCUUGACUAUCGGUUUUGGGGGAGCUCAAUUAUAAAUAGAGAGCCUCCCCCUCAUUUGUACUCAUUCUAUUGUAUUCUGAAUUCUUAAGAGUAAUAGAAUUCUAAGAGCAUUUACUCAAACACCUUGUGUGCAAUCUUUUCUGUGGUUUUUUUUUUGUUUUUUGGUUAGCUUCUUUUGGCAUAAAUCGCUUCCGCUCUUCGAUUUGGUGCCUUGGAGGAGUUCUAAAAGAAUCUUCACUUGAGUUAAGGCUGACUUAGGCGAGUUUAGACGAACGGAUCACCUAAGGCCGCACGGAUUGCGAGACGAAAAGUCUAGCCCCGUGACAGUUGGUAUCAGAGCUUUUGGUUCGAAGGCACUGUUGGGAUGUCGAAAGAAGUUGUUGGUCAGAGUGAGCCAAUGGAGACCCGAGGAAGGGCCAGAAAAGUGAGUCGAUCAAGGGACUUAUUGUCGGCUUUGGAGGAUCGAGUUGUCACUCUCGAGGAGUUCAUGGGAGACGUCAAGGAGAGGAUCGACGAUGUCGAUGAUAGACACAAUGAUGGGUUGCGAACAUUGCAAGAGCAGCUCAGGGAAUUUGUGUGGGAUACUAUCGGUUCCUCGGAGAAUAAGCUGGCUGAGAAGGAUGAUGCUCUCGAGGCUAUGGUGACAGCUUUGAAGGAGGAGAUCAAUGAGUUUAAGGGAGAGCUCAAGAUUUUCAAGGCUACCAUAGGGAAUGGAAUGAUGGCUUCAAAGCCGAAGCCACAAGCGAUGGAUGUGCCCAAGCCGAAGGCGUUUAAAAGGGCAAGGUCUGCAAGUGAAGUGGACAACUUUCUUUGGGCCAUGGAGCAAUACUUCCGUGCGAUGAACAUCGAGGAUGAUGUUACAAAGGUAAACACUAUUGCUAUGUAUUUCACUGAUGUUGCUUUGUUAUGGUAGAGACGUAGGUCUACUGAUGUGAGACGUGGUGAGACCGAAAUUAGGACUUGGAAGGAGUUCCAAAGUGAAUUUAAAGCACAGUUUUACCCUGAGUAUACCGAGUAUGAAGCUCGAGCAAAGUUACGAUGGCUAACGCAAUAGGGCACGGUUAGGGAGUAUGUGUGGGAGUUCAGUGAACUCAUGCUCCAUAUAUCUGAUUUGAGUGAGAAAGAAGCAUUUUUCUCCUUUAUAGAUGGGUUGAAACCAUGGGCGAAGCAAGAAUUGCAACGUCGAGGAGUUCGGGAACUUACCAAAGCUAUGAUGGUAGUGGAGUCCAUAGUGGAACUUGCUCCGAGAAGGGACAGGUUUGAAUCUUCCAAGCCCAACAGGAGGGGCAAUGGUGGGUACCAUGAGGAGGAUGAAGAUAGACAAAGCUAUGAUGGCAAUGGUAGUAGCGGUGAUGGUGAUGAUAGGAAACCAUGAAAUGGGAAGUGGAGACCUAAUAGCCCGAAAGAAAGGAGAGGAAAGUUACGGUGCUACUUUUGUAAAUGACCGCACAUGAAGAGGGAUUGCCCAAAGGUAUCUUCAGUUUCGGCUAUCAAGAGAAGUGAUGAGCCGGAAGAGGCGAAGCCUAUUGAGAAAAAGCUAUCGAGGGUCAAUUCGAUGGUGCUCAUUCCUGAGAAGAGGAAUGGUAAAUAAGGGUUGAUGUUUGUAGACAUCAACAUUACGGGUUAGAAGCAGAGUGCUCUUAUUGAUACGGGAGCAUCAGACUUGUUCAUAUCGGAAAAGGCUACAAGGAAGCUUGGUCUGCCGAUUAGGAAAUCGAAUAAGAAGAUCAAGACAGUAAAUUCUGAGGAGGCCCUAACUAUGGGUGUAGUUCAAAAUGUGGAGCUACAAAUUGGGAAAUGGAAGAGCAAGGAAGACUUUGAGGUAAUCGAAUUAGAUGAUUACGAUUAUGUACUUGGCUUAAACUUCCUUGACAGGAUUCAAACAGUUCUGUAUCCAUGGGUCGAUCAAAUCCAUAUUAUCACCAAUCCGUUAACAAAUAUUGUUGUGCCGGUGCAUCGAAAUUUGAAAGUAGGGGAAAAGGUGUUGUCGUCAAUCCAACUAGUCGAAGAUGUUUAGUAUGAGAGGAACAUCGACUUGAUAGAACGGGUAGUUAUGAAAGCUCCUUCGGAAGUGUUAGUGGCACAAGAGUUCGAUAUGAAGCCUGCAGAUUCGAUUGUGGGGCCGACACCUUUGGGAAAUGUGGGUUGUGCAUCGGGAUUCAAGAAAAAGGGAGUGAUGCAAAAAUAGUCGGGACGAGUAAAUGUUGCGAGUAAGGUACAUUUCAAACACUUUGAUAGUGUUUUGAAUUCUGACUUGUUAGCUUGGUAAGGUCGUAGGGGCCCUUUCGAAGUUCAUGAGCAAGGAGGCCAAGGGACUGUGGGCAAUACGAAGCCAAGAUGUGAGAAUCAAGAUGAUUCAAGAGAGAACAAGUAAAAGUUGAGGCAAGGUAGAGCGAAGACUUCUUGCCAACAAGAUGUAUCAACGAGUGCAACGGUUAAAAUGAAGAGGCGACGGAAGUCGAGGCAAAGGUUCCGAAGGAAGGGACAACCUGAUCCCAAGGCAAGUCAGGAAGAAGACAAGGCAAUGAGAGAGUUCAAAGAUGAAUCAUGUCAGUACCAUUCGGAAGUCGCAACGAGGGUGUUGUGAGAAUGGGUGGGGGAUAAUGUCAUGGGCCAAAGUUCAAAGCCCGUGACCAUCACACCAAAUGCAUCCAAUGGAGGUCUAUUGCUCAGAUGGGGAUCAUUUGGCCUACAAGAACUGGCCCGAUUCAAAGAGCUAUUAGACAAGCCUGCCUGUCAGAUUGAAGCCUAGUUGGCCCGAUAAUGAAGAGAUGGCAACUUAGGCUAAUAUGGUAACUAAUCUUAGAAGAUAGAGGGAAUCAUAUCUUGUAAAGAUUAGAUUAGAUUUGAUAAAGCUUAUCUUGUAAAUCCCUAAAAUUAAGGGAUAUGGUUAAAUCUCAUCCGCCGAUGUAAAUGUAUCUUGACCGUCGGUUUUGGGGGAGCUCAACUAUAAAUAGAGAGCCUCCCCCUCAUUUGUACUUAUUCCAUUGUAUUCUGAAUACUUAAGAGUAAUAGAAUUCUGAGAGCAUUUACUCAAACACCUUGUGUGCAAUCUUUUCUGUGGCUUUUUGUUGUUCUUUUGUUAGCUUCUUUUGGCAUAAAUCGCUUCCGCUCUUCAAUUUGGUGCCUUGGAGGAGUUCUAAAUGAAUCCUCACUUGAGUUAAGGCUGACUUAGGCGAGUUUAGACAAACGGAUCACCUAAGGCCGCACGGAUUGCGAGAUGAAAUGUCUAGCCCCGUGACUUAAUUACAUACCUGAGCCUUUUAAUUCAAUUUCACAUUUGGUCUUCAAUUAACAUUACCCGUUGAACCGUUCAGAAUUAAAAAGGAUACGUGAAUAGUCGGAAGCUAGUACAAUGCCAAUGUCCCUGACGUAGUCUUACAUGUAAUCACAUAUCGAUGCCACUGUCCUAGACAGGGUCUUACACGUAAUACAAGUCGAUGCCAACGUCACAGACGUGGUCUUACACGAUAACAUAUAUCAAAAAUCCUAUGUCAUGACAUAUGUAUCCUAUUUAUUCUUAAAGUUCACAUGGGACUUUCAGAAAUUGAAUCUCGAUCGGAUCGAACUCAAAAUAUAGCUCAUUUGCUCAAUUCACAUUCGUCCAUACACAAAUAUAUUCACAAAAAUUCCAUUCAUCAUGUAACAUUUAUAUAUUAUCAAAUUUAACGACAUUUAUAUGCUUAUAGAUUUACCUCGGAUAUCAACAAGCUGUAUAUUCAACUAUUCGAUUAUUUUUAUUUUUUCUCGAUCCAAAUUCGUUUUCUUUGGUUCUUGAUCUAAACAUAUUAAAAUUAAACUUAUUUAAGUAUACUUUUACAAAAUUUAGUCUAAAAAACACAUAAAUGGGAAAAUUACCAUUUUGCCCCUAACAUUUUCACUUUUUACAAUUUAGUCCAUAUUGCAUAAAACACAAAAUACACAAAAUUUGCACAUACCAUAGCUAGGCCAAAUCUUCCUAUAGUCCAUAUAAGUCCAAAAAUUUUAUUUAAUUCACAUUUUAGUCCCUAAAAAUAUUAUUUUUGCAAUUUAGCCCUAAAUACUCAAUUUCAUCAAAAAUUCCAAUAUAAAACAUAUUAAUCUAAAAGAUAUAUUUCAUUAUUCAUCAUGAAACAUCACAAAACACAAUUAUUCAUCAAUGGAAUAACUCAAAAUAUUCAUCAAUAUCAAAAAUUCAAGCAUGGGUCGGAUAGUAUUCGAAGCAACGAUCUCAAAAACAUAAAAAUCAUCAAAAACCGAACAAAAUCCAUACCUUAAUUAAGACUUGUAAGUGCCGAAUGUUCUAAGCUUUUUCUUC
rnacentral:lncRNA from 1 species